AAAUGAAAUAGCAUUAGACCUGACAGUGAAAUGCAAUGACAUCUCUUCUAGGGGAUUUUGCAACAGACCUUCUGAAGAAAGUGAUAUCAGACACUGAAAAAAACAUCUGUGGUAUCAUUUGCUUUUCCAUAAAUGUAUGCAGAAGCAAACUAACCAGGAAUAUGCAGAGGCAUCUGUUAUAAAAACAUUUGUUUGUCAACUGACAGCUACAUUGAUCAUGUCCAUCAAAUGGUUUCCUCCCACUAAGUCUUUGAAGAUUUUUGUGAAUAAUUACAAGUUUAGGCCACAUCUUCUUUCCUGUCCAAUUCUACAGUUUGCACAAUUAAAUUAAGUAAACAUGAAAGACAA